ACCCUCUCAGGGUCACAAUUGGAGAGUUUCCAGUACUCUACCAAUCUCGACUAUGGGAGGGAGAGUCAAGCAGAGGCCUACCCAUUCCAUUCCUAGCUUGCCCAGUGGCUAGUGAGUGGAAGGCAAUCUGCUGCAAGU
rnacentral:snoRNA from 1 species